rnacentral:rRNA from 1 species
UAGAGUUUGAUCAUGGCUCAGAUUGAACGCUGGCGGCAUGCCUUACACAUGCAAGUCGAACGGUAACAGGUCUUCGGAUGCUGACGAGUGGCGAACGGGUGAGUAAUACAUCGGAACGUGCCCGAUCGUGGGGGAUAACGGAGCGAAAGCUUUGCUAAUACCGCAUACGCCCUUCGGGGGAAAGAUUUAUCGCCGAUAGAUGAGCCCGCGUCUGAUUAGCUAGUUGGUGAGGUAAUGGCUCACCAAGCCAACGAUCUGUAGCUGGUCUGAGAGGACGACCAGCCACACUGGGACUGAGACACGGCCCAGACUCCUACGGGAGGCAGCAGUGGGGAAUUUUGGACAAUGGGCGCAAGCCUGAUCCAGCCAUGCCGCGUGCAGGAUGAAGGCCUUCGGGUUGUAAACUGCUUUUGUACGGAACGAAAAGACUCCUUCUAAUAAAGGGGGUCCAUGACGGUACCGUAAGAAUAAGCACCGGCUAACUACGUGCCAGCAGCCGCGGUAAU